rnacentral:rRNA from 1 species
UACGUAGGAGGCAAGCGUUGUCCGGAAUUACUGGGCGUAAAGCGCGUGUAGGUGGUGGGACAAGUCUGCUGUGAAAGCGCCUGGCUUAACCGGGCGAGGUCGGCGGAAACUGUUCGACUCGAGGACGGUAGAGGGGGGUGGAAUUCCCGGUGUAGUGGUGAAAUGCGUAGAGAUCGGGAGGAACACCUGUGGCGAAGGCGG